ACAAGCGGUGGAGCAUGUGGUUCAAUUCGACGCAACGCGCAGAACCUUACCAGCCCUUGACAUGCCGUGCUACUCACAGAGAUGCGGGGUUCCAGCAAUGGACGCGGACACAGGUGCUGCAUGGCUGUCGUCAGCUCGUGUCGUGAGAUGUUGGGUUAAGUCCCGCAACGAGCGCAACCCUUGCCUUCAGUUGCCAUCAUUUAGUUGGGCACUCUGGAGGGACUGCCGGCGGUAAGCCGGAGGAAGGUGGGGAUGACGUCAAGUCCUCAUGGCCCUUACGGGCUGGGCUACACACGUGCUACAAUGGUGGCGACAGAGGGCACAAGCGAACGUGCAAACGUUAGCAAAUCCCAAAAAGCCAUCUCAGUUCAGAUUGCGCUCUGCAACUCGGGCGCAUGAAGGUGGAAUCGCUAGUAAUCGCAGAACAGCAGGCUGCGGUGAAUA
rnacentral:rRNA from 1 species